UAAAAAGUAAAUAAAAGUUCAUAAGAUGUUAUAAUAACCUAUGAUAACAAAUGUUGAUGAGGAAAAGUAGGAAAGGAGACAGAAUAACUGAAUUAG